CACGUAGGGCGCAAGCGUUGUCCGGACUUAUUGGGCGUAAAGAUCUCGUAGGCGGUCUGUUGCGUCCGCUGUGAAAACUCGGGGCUUAACCCCGAGCCUGCAGUGGAUACGGGCAGACUAGAGGUAGGUAGGGGAGAAUGGAAUUCCCGGUGUAGCGGUGAAAUGCGCAGAUAUCGGGAGGAACACCGGUGGCGAAGGCGGUUCUCUGGGCCUUACCUGACGCUGAGGAGCGAAAGCGUGGGGAGCGAACAGG
rnacentral:rRNA from 1 species